GAUAUUCAAAAAGUACAUACCUCAAAGAAAACGAUGACGCGAGUUAUCGUCUCUAACGUUCGAGGACUACAAAAAACACUCGGAUUGUAGGCAACAGUUUACUUCCUGGGAUUAGUGACGUAGAUAAGACCAACAUUAUCAUAGUUCAGCCCUCUCUGCUUUGCUUGGGUACGCCCUCAAAGACGGGGGUGGGGAGCGCCGAGUCAGAAGAGAGCUAAAAUGGCGGAGGUUGGGAGUCCCUGCUUUGACUCUGUUUGCAAACUCUUGUUUCAUCGUUUAAGCGAUUAAAUCUCUCGAGUAGACGCUGUCUCUUUAGAUGCAAGGGCAAAAUAGCACUUUAUGGACUUACACAGAGGACAUCAUGUUUAAUACGGUUCCGGAAAAAUCCAGUCAGAAGUUGCUCACUGAGUUUUCACAAUAACUGCUUCUCAUGAACCGAAGCUGGACGUCUCCUCCUGAAAGUUGGAUUACUGUGCACUUCUGGAUCACAGGCUGUAAGUAUUCACGUUUAUUAUUUGCCUUUUACUGUACAUUACGUAACCGGUAACCGGAGAUUAACAUAAUGUGCGUGUAGAGCUAAGCUUGCAAGCUAAUUGUUUUGUGUUGUAAUACUGUAUUUCAUAAACAACGUACCAUAUUUACACACGUGUAUGUUGAAUUAUGCAGACUAUCGUUUUUUUUUAUCGAUGUUGGUUUAGACAUGUUUACAAACUUGCUAAGUUACCAGCUAAACUGUUACCGGUAAAAUUUGUUCUCAUGAUCAAACUCAAGAAACUCUAAGUACAGAUGAUUUGUUUAAAGUUAUAUGUAUUUUACUGUUGUAUUUACUUGAAGCUUUCUUAGAUUUUGAAACGAAGUAAACACGUAAUGUGUGUUGCUAAUGUUGGGCCAUGUAAUAUGUAAUACAUUAACGUUUUAAUGAAUAGUCUAACGAUUUAUAGUCGUUGUACUCUAUUGUUAUAAUAUGUAUUUUUGACUGAAUACAUGUUUGUUUUAUUUGUCUAUAUCAUAGAUUCGCAGCUGGACACAUCCUUCUACACUGUAUGCAAACAUGCAAUAUCAUAACACACAGUACAAGGAGUCAGACUGGCAUAUGAGGAGCAAAGGAACCCACGCAGUAGCAUCGUUUCACAAUGUUUCCAUCACCAUCAUCAGUGGAUGCCUUUGCCGUCCGUACCCUGAGAUUUCAGAUUUGCAGCAAAAAAAUUUGAUUUUCUCAUUUAUUGGAAUGCUGUGCAGGUUGUACCUUGCAGCCAUCCAUUACAAUGUCACCAAGCCGUAACAAAAGCAGGAGAGGGAAAGUACAAGGCUAUGUUCCCAAAACACAAAUGACAUACCGUAAGCAGUAAUGUUUUAUUUCAAAUACAUUCAUAAUUAAAAACUUAAUGUAUGAAGCAGGGAAAUAAAUGAUCAAAACAAAAGAUUUAUUGACUGCAAUAUUUGUACAGUUAUGUGGAUGAUGUGAUCAGGCUUGUGUUUGAUGAGGUAUUUGAAGAUAAGCUGAAGGAAACCCCGAUUCCAAUGGACCUGGCAUCACAGUUUGAGAGACCUUCAAAGGAGGACGUGAUUGCAUGCCAUCUUCAGUGCAGGGGUCGUCGAAAGCCAAAAUUGUGACCAAUCCGAUCAGGAAGCUCCAAGCGUAUCUGGAGAACAACACACGACAGGAUGAUAACCCUAAAGUGUCGUCUUAGAUAGCACCAGCUGACAAAGCUUUGAUAUGCCAUUUAUCUGAAUAGAUAGCUGUAAGAAAUGAAUUGAACAAUUUUUGAAAGAA